GGUCUCAUAGCUCAGUGGUUAGAGCAUGCGAUUGCAGCAAAAUCUGUUCAAGGAUUGCAAUUUAUCGCAGGGUCGCGUGUUCGAAUCACGCUGGGACCU
rfam:Fomitopsis pinicola FP-58527 SS1 unplaced genomic scaffold FOMPIscaffold_27, whole genome shotgun sequence.